rnacentral:tRNA from 9 species
GGCAGUGUAGCCAAGUGGUUACGGCGUCACGUUUAGGCCGUGAUGGGUUUCCCGCGCGAGUUCGAAUCUCGUCACUGUCA